CCCUAAUCAACGCUCUCCUUCGUGUUCUUCGGCAACGUCGAUGUCGUUUACCCUUACCCUCACCAAAACGGUGUGAGUUAGUGGUCCAUGUUUGAUCCCAUCAAUUCGCUCAUCAACUACGCUGUCUUCAAUGCUCUGUUUCGAUCUGAAAGGCGGUGAUUUUACAGUAUAAAUAGAUCACCACCUUCGAGGGGCCUGCUGAGUCGAGAUCUAUCUCUCUGUACUAUGCGUAUUUGUAUUUUCCACCGUCUUUCACCUGCCAUCAUUGCGUGAAGACCGAGUCGUUGCUGUGACGUUCGAUAUUCACACCACCACCUCUGGUCAACCAAGGCGUAAUGGUUUGGGGUGCAUUCAAUCAACUUAGUUACGCUUCUGUUCCUUGCCUCCGUAGCCGGAAAGCUUCUGCGAGGGAUCGAGACCUGAUCUGCGUUUUCUGUGUCAAGCAGCGACGGAAACAGUUUUCUCCACUUCCGUCUACAAACGGCUUCUCAAUUCUCCUGAUCAAAUCAAUCUUACCUUCCCUUCAGCCUACAAAAGGUUUCUCAGUUCUCUUGAUUUAGAUGCAUAGGAGAUGGUAGUAGAAGGAAUCGUUUUGUCUGAGUUUCUUGAUCUGUAAGUACAAUGGUCUGCAAGAGAAGAAACACUGAUGGACUAUCAGUACAUAAUAUUAAAACACUAUGAGUCUAGGAGGAAUCAUUGUUGAUGAUUAUUUUGUUGAAAGAAAAGGAAUUUUUUCCAAAGUGGAUAUAUAGGGGAGUAAACCCGAGGACUAUAUUUGAUAGUGUCAAGAGCCAAGAAGUUGUUAAAUCAUUGGUUUGGUUAAGGGAAAAUAUGUGAAGAAAAAUGCUUUGUCUGGAUAACAGUUAUUAAGUUUCUACAUCGUUUUCUGUCUAUGGAGCAGUGAGCAUCAUCUCUCUCGCCUUCCUGCAACUGAAGUGUAAAUAUGCUUCCGCAUAUAAGCUCAAGUUAUCUUUGGCAAUGGUUAAUAGGUGGAUGAAAAGCUUGUGGCACAAGGCAAGACAGCUGAAGGAUUUCCAAAGUGGCUAGAGUCGAAGUAUGGAAGCAGGAGUAGUCUGUGCUCUCCUGAGUGUGACUACAUAUUAUAUUUACGGAUGACUUUGUUGAGACGUUGUUGUUUUAUCUUUGACGGUAUCAAACAUUCUAUAAUCAAAACAUAUAUCUUCUUUUCUAUU